rnacentral:lncRNA from 1 species
UGACAAUUGAUUAGUUAUGUGGGGUGAGGGAGGGGAGGGGCAGAGUCUAGGAUGAGCCUGGAAGAAUUAUGGAUGACCUCAUAGAGGGAAGACUGAAGGAACCCUAGGGUUCCCGGGAAGGGGGUCGGGAGAAGAAAUACGUCGAAUUUGAGAUGCGUAGACGCCAUCGAGGCGCAAAUGGCCCCCGAUUUGGUGAAAAAGAGCCAGUCAUGUGGGCUUGACAGUCAGUCUAUGGAGUCUUCGCUAGAAUGACUGCGUAGAAAUCAUCUGGUGGGAGGGGCCGAGGUCGGGAAGAUCGAAGGGGAUCCGGAGCACAUUUUGGGGAGACAGCCAUGAUUAGGGGAGCAUGAAAUGGAGGAAACAGCAGCACUGUGCAAUGGAAAGAAUGUGGACGGGGCUGUCUCACCUGAUCCUCACAACCACCCUGGGAGGUUUAACUGUUAGUAAUAUACAAAAGGUGGAUGAUUUUUGUGGAUUCAUUUCAUAUUCUACUUUGAUGCUGAUUAAGUAAGCCAUCAUGUCAUCUGCAAAUAGGGCCACGUCCAUCAGACUUGAUCAUCAUAUAGUGUUGUUGUUGAAGUAUAUAAUGAUCUCCUGGUUCUGCUCAUUUCAAGAAAACUUUAUUGAGAGUUUCUAAGUGGCAGGCAAUGUGCCGGCAACUCUGAGCACUCAGUGUAUCUCCAGGGUAAAUGGAAGAGAAUCUUGAGAGGCAGAUGGUGACAUUGGAGCUAGGACUGGAAACAAGCCAGGUAAGCUGGGACACUGACAUCGGUGUCCAAGACUAAGCCAGGUUGACAGUCACAGAAAAUGUCAUCUGAGAAUGGCGUAGCUUCGAGAGGAACACCAAGGGAGGUUGGCCCCGGGUGGAGCAGACAGAGCGUGGAGCAAGGUCACUUGGCAGCAGUUGGAAAGGCUGACUUCAGAAAAGCCUGGAGAGACUUACAUGAAUUGAUGCUGAGUGAAGUGAGCAGAACCAGGAGAACAUCGUACACGGUAACAGCAAGACUGUGUGACAAUCAACCUCGGCGGAAUUGGCUCUUCUCAGAAGUGUGGUGAUCCAAGACAAUUCCAGUUUACUUGGGAUGGAAAAGGCCACCUUGGGGACUGAAUUUGGAUCAAAGCAUACUAUGUAAUUGUUUUUUUCUCAUGGUUUCCCUUUUGAUUUUUCUUUCACAACAUGGAAACAUGUUUAGAAUGAUUGUACAUGUAUAACCUAUGUUAGAUUGCUUGCUAUCUUGGAGAGGGAGAAAAGUUUUUGUAACUCAAAAUCUUAAAGAAGUGAAUGUUGAAAACUAUCUUAACAUGUAAUUGGAAAAUAAAAUACUGUUAAGUAAAAAAAAGUGAGAGUGAGACUAGAUGAGAAUUCAGUAUAAAUUCCUGAAACUUAACUAAAAAUAUCAUUGGCAACAGAAAGUAAAAAAACUGGGAGAGCAAAUAGGAGUUUGAGAGAGAGUAAAAGAAAUUGAGAAAUGCAGGGGAAAGAGAAACAAUGGAAUAGAGAGAAAAUAAGAUGGAGGAGUAUAGAAGAGACAAAGUGAAAGACAAGUAGGGAAUGAGCAAAAGAUUAACAGUAGAAGUAGAGAAAGAAUGAGAGAGACAAACAAAAGCGGAGUGGGGGGAGAGAGAGUAAGAAGUAGUGAGAAAAAGAGGGAGAAUGGGAGGACAAGACAGAAAGAGAGAUGGAGAUAGGGAAUGAGAAAAAGAAUGAGAGGAUGACAAAGAGAAAGAAAACUUAGGAAAACAGUGAUUUUUUUUUAAAAAAAAAAGGACAGAAUGUGAGAGAGCCAUAGAAAUAACAGGAGAGGAAAAAGGAGGAGAGACAGAGAAAGCCCAAAACAGAAUGAAAUAGAAAAUGAGAGUGAUACAGAGAGAGUGAGAAAUGGGAAGAAAAUUAGAGGGAAAGAAAAAUAGUAGAAUAGAGAAAAAAGGGAGAUAGAACAAGAGAAAUAAAAAGAAAGACAGACACAGUGAAAGAGAAUAAAAGAUUGGAGAGGGAAAAGGGGAAAGAGUGGGAUAGGAGAGUGUGUGAGAUUGGAUUAUUAGCUUACAAUUUCUCAAUCCUUACAAAUGAGUGAGUCAAAGAGCAAAUUUUAGGAUGGAUAAUUUCAUUAAAGAUAAUGACAACAAUGAGCCAACAUAUGUGAACUGAUCCAGCCAUUCUUGAAAACAAUUGAGAACUUUGCCCAAAGGGCUAUCAAACUGUGCAUACCCUUUGAUCCAGCAGAGUCACUACUAGAUUUGUAUCCCAAAGAAAUCAUAAAAGAGGGGAUGGGACCCCCGUGUGCAAAAACAGCACCUUUUUCUGUGGUGGCAAAGAAAUGGAAAAUGAGGGGAUGCCCAUUGGUUGGAGAAUGGCUGAAUAAGUGAAUAAGAUAUAUGAUUGUAAUGGAAUAUUAUUGUUCUAUAAAAAAUGAUGAUUUCGGGGAGACUUACCUGAACUGAUGCUGAGUGAAGUAAGCUGAACCAGGACAAUAUUGUACACAGCAACAAGAUUAUGUGAUGAUCAACUAUGAUUGAUUUAGCUCUUCUAAGCAAUGCACUGAUCCAAGACAAUUGUGAAUUCAGAGAGAAUUAUGGAGACUGAAUGUAGAUAGAAGCAUAUUAUUUUCAUCUUUUUCCUUUUUCUUUCUCAUGGUUUUCCCCUUUCAUUCUGAUUUUUCUUUCAUAACAUGACUACUAUGUUUAAAAUGAUUAUACAUGUAUAAAUUAUAUCACAUUGCUUGCUGUCCUGGGGAGGAUAAACGGGAAGGAGAAAAAUAUUUGGAAUGAGACAAUGUACCAAAAUUUAUGUGAAACAGCCAAAAUAGUACCAAAUGGAAAAUUUAUGUUUCUAAAUACUUACAUCAAUAAAAUAGAGAAAGAGAUGGAUGAAAUGCAUAUGCAACUAAAAACUAGCAAAAAAUUAAAAAUCCUGAAAAUCAAAGGAAAGAUUAGUAAAAAUUGAAAACAAUAAAAGCACUUAACUAAUAAAACUAAGAGAUGUAUUCAUGGAAAAAAAACCCAACAAAAUAGAGAAAACAUUGGUUAGUUUGAAUUUUAAAAAGAAGAAAAUCAAAUUACCAGUAUCAAAAAUGAAAAGGGUGAAUUCACCACCACUGAAGAUGAAAUUAAAGCAAUUAUUAGGAGCUAUUUUGCCCAAUUAUAUCAACAAAUCUAACCAUCUAAAUGAUUUUUCUCUCUUUCUCAUCUUUUUCAAGAAUGAAAGAGAAAAAUUGCGAGAAAUAAAUGAGAUUGGAAGAAAUAUGAAAGUGAGAAACAAUAAGGGAGUGAGAGAGAAUGAGAAAAAGAAAAAAGGUGUAUUCUUGAAAGAAGAAAGAAUGGGACAGUGAGGCAAAAAUAAGAGAAAAAAGAAUGGGAGAGAAAAGCAAAGUAAAAAAGAGUGGGAGACAGAGCCAGGGAAAGAGAGAAAGAAAAAUGGAGAGUGAGAGAAAAGAAAAAUAGACAAAGCUUUGGAGACAGGGAAGGGAGCAAAAGAGACAGAAAAAGUGAAGAAAACAGGGAGCAUAAAAUAAAGAGAUAAGGGCAGAGUGAGGAAAAGGGAAAGCAUGAGUCAAAGUGUGGCAGAAAGAAAGAAAAAGAGAUGUUGGUGAAAGAGAAAUUCUGUGAGUGGAAUACAGAGAAAAAAGGAGAGAGGAAGAGAAAGAAGCAGAGAGCAUGAGUGGGAAAAACAAUUAGAAAUUCUCUUAUUUUUAUGCCAACAAAACUGAAGAUAAAAUGAAAUGGGUGAAUAUUUAUAAAAGUAUAAAAUGGAGGAAAUAACAAAUAUAAACAAUCUUAUCUCAGAGAAUCUGAGUAAAUCAUAAAUGAAAUCCAAGGAAAAAUUCCUAGUUUAAUUAUGAAUUAUAUCACACAUUUAAAGAACAGUUAAUCAUUCUGCUAUGUAAGCUGUUCACAAAGUAAUAGAGCAAGAUGCCACCUUUACCAAAUUCCUUCUAUGAGAAAAAUAUGGUCCUGACAAACUAAAUUAGGGAUAAAGCUAAUAAAGAAAAAUACACACCAAUAUCACUAAUUAUUUAGUUAACCAAGCAGGUAUAAUAUAUUAAAAAUUAUUCACUAUGAUCAAUUUAGAUUUAUACCAGAAGUAUAAGGUUGGCUCAGAAAUGCCAUAUAUUUGAAAAACUACGCAUUUAUAACACAUCAUAUUAAUAAAUCACAUAAUCAUUUCAGUUCGGAGGGGAAAAAAAGCCUCGGGGAAAAUAUACUUUUAUUUCUGAUAUCCAGUGAGAAUAUUAAUUAUGUUUUUUUAAUAUCUGUAAAAUCAGGAACUAGUUUUUAUUUGUAACAGAAUAACACCAUAGUCUUUCCCAGUAAGAUAAUACAAGAUUCCUCACUGUCUCUGUUAUUAUUUGAAUACCUUUCUAGAAAUGCUCCUAUAGCACUGACAAUGAAAAGUAGCUCAGGGAGAACAAAUCCAUCAAGGGAGAAGAAUAUCCCUUCUAUUGGCAGAUAAUAUGAUGUUUACUUUAAGAAUUAUGGGGUUUCAGAAAAAACACUCAUCAAAAUGACAGCCCCAGUAAAGUUGUAAGAUAUAAAAUGAAACUACAAGUUGUCACCUUUUGUCUACAUCACUUACAAUCCAAGAGGAAGAGAUGGACAGAAAAACUCUACUAAAUCCUCUGUGAUGCAUUAAAAAAUGGAUUUAAGAGACUGAGACACGGUUAAGAGUGAUCUAAACUCUGCCAUAAAGCACUGCUGAGUGUUUUAUGAGUAAAGUACAUUGGAGAGAGAUUCAUUACUCAUGGUUGGAGCGUGUCAAAAUGUUUUAAAAAAUUGUGAUGACAUUUAAAUUAAUUCAUAAAUUGAGUUUUUUUUUCAAGCAAUAUAUUACCAAGGCGUUCCUGUAUAGGACCAUAUAAGUCAUAAUGAAAGUUCAUUAAUUUCAAGGGAAAUAGUGGGAAAAAAUAAUAAUGAAGGGAGCUUAGCAUUAUCAAAUCUCAGAUGAUAGUAUGAAGCAGUAAUCAUCUAUUUGAAUGGUUUAUAUGGUUUAAGAAAAGGACUAGAGAAAUGGGACUUAGGAGUAAAGGAUACAGUCGUUCAGUGUUUUAUAAACCCAAAGAUAUUGAUAUCAUGGAUAUGGUAGAUAGAAGAGUUCUUGGGAAAUCACAUUGGACUAGCAUUUUAUACCACGUAAUCGUCAUAAGCCUGAAAUGGAUGUAUGACAGUAAUAUAAAAGGUCAUAGCACCAAAAAUUAAGAGUAAAGGUUCCAUAUAUACCAAAAUAUUCCUAAUUUUUUUUCCUUAACAGAAAAUUCUCCAAAUAAAAUUAGUCCUUGUCUCUUAGGAAACGGAUAAACAAAAUGUGAUAUGAAUGUAGUACGAUAUUAUUUAAUGUAAAAAAAAUGACUAUAAAAUUCAGAAACUUGGGCAGACUUGUAUGAACCUUGGGAACAUUAAUGAUAGUAAUUAUAAUUUCAAUAGUACUUUAAAGUUUACAGAAUUCUUUGGAAAUGUGAUCUCACUUUAUCCUCACAACUCUAAAAAGUUUGAAUAGUUAUCAAAAUAGAAAAUGCCCAGAUUCACAGAACAAGAAGUAAAGGGCUGAAAUAACAGUUCAUAAAAAGAAAUGAAACAAGCCAUAAAUGACUUCCAAAAAGGGAGAGAGGACCUUAGACUUUAUAAGUAAAUUUGAUUAUUCAGAAAAAAGAGUCCAUGGUGUUGUUAACCUAAACCAAGAAAAGUAAAAACAGAAAGAAAACUAUGGAUCAAUAUCCCUAAUGAACACGGAUGCAAAACAAGGUGGAAAUGAAGGGAAAAGACCUUAUGUAUAAAAAAGUAUUUAUAGCAGUUCUCUUUGUGGUGACAGAACCAACAAAAUGGAAACUAAGGGCGUGAGAAUGAUUUGGAGAAUGGGUAAACAAACAAUGCUAUUUGAAUGUGCUGUUAUUCAGCCAUUUUUCUGUCAUGUCGGAUUCUCUGUGACCCAGUUUGGGGUUUUCUUGGCAAAGAUACUGAUUGGCCAUUUCCUUCUCCAGCUCAUUUUACAGAUGAGGAAAUUGAGGCAAACAGGGUGAAGUGACUUGCCCAGGCUCACACAGUUAGUGUCUGAGGCUGGGUUUGACCUCAGGUUUACUUGACUCCAGUCCUGGCAUUCUAUCCAUUGCACAAUCUAAGGUGCCUUAUAUGAACACAGUGGAAUAUUACUGUGCAAGAAGAGAUGGCAAAGGGGAUACAUAGGGAAGAUGUGUAUGAACUGAUGCAGAGUGAAGUGAGCAAACCAGUAGAACCAUUUAUACAGUAAUAAUAAUUUUGUAAAGACAAAUUUGAAAGUCUUAAGAAAUUUGAUUAUUACAGUGAAUUACGAUACCAGUAGAACUAUGAUGAAACCUUCUGUCCAUUUUAUGACAGAGAGGUGAUACCUCAAAUUUUGUUUUGUUCAGUUAUGUCUUUAUUGCAAGAAUUUUGCUCUUUCCCCCCCAAAUAGGGUGGGAGAGGAGUAAAGUGGGGAAGAGAGAAAAUAGAUUUAUUUAACUGAAAAAGAACUAAACUUGAUUUUUAAAAAAGGAAACAGUAGGGAAGAUGGAUUGGUUAGGGGGAAAACUCAAAGGAAGACAACCAGUUUGGAGAUUGUUGCAGUAGCGUCUGCCAAAAGAAAGGAGGACCUGAAGAAGGGUGGUUAUAUCAGCACUGGAGGGAAAAGUGGGAGAGAUCUUUUCAAGGUUGAGAGCUUGGUAAUUAAUUGGAUAUGGGGCAGGGCUUAUCAGGAAUGGGUAAGAGUUCAGGUUCUGAGCUUACAAACCCGAGUGACUGUGAAGAUGGUGGUAGUGCUAUGAACAGAAAUCAAAGCCUUAUGGGAAAGCACAGGUUUGGGGAAAGAGGGAAGAUGUUCAAUUUGUGGUGCUGGCCGUAAGGAGCUCUGGGGAAAGAUCAUGGAUGGCUAUGCGGAUGUGAGUGUCAGUACUUAAACUGAAAAGAUGAGCAAAGUAGUUCCCCGAGGGAGAGAAUGGAGGAAGACUUAAGAGGAAAGUCCAGGAGAGAACCUUGCUGCAUAUCUCUAGUUUUAUAAUGGAAGGAGAAUAGAAAGUCAGCACAAGAAAGAAAUGGUCAGAGAGGGAGAAGGAACAUGGAGUACGGGGUAUCACCAGGGAAGAGAUGUUGGUGACUGAGGCCAAUAUACACACCGGCUACUUAUGGCCCAAGAAGGUCAAAGACAAAAAAGAAAAGCUCUGUAUAUCUCUGUAUAUAUAAUACUUGUCUUAUAUAUACUCUCUCUAUUCCCAAUAGCACUUCUGGUAGGACAAAAACUAGAAAUGAAGUGGAUGCCUAGUGGUAGGUGACAAAUUGCUGUCUAAAUUGUGGCAGGUAAAUGGGAGAGGUAUGAAUUAUGGCCCCAAAAUAAGAAGCAGGAGGAAUUCCAAGCAACACAAUCCAGGGCACAUUAGUGCGUGCUAGGGAUACAAAAGCAGAUGAGAUAGUCCUUACCUCCAAGUUAUCUGGAUUCUGUUGAGGAGCUGCAUAUAACCUGUACACAUUCACCAUGACAAUCUAGACUCAAAAUCAAUCCAGGGACUAAGGACUGGGGAAAUCAUCAGGGGAGAGAUCUCUUGAAGGAGAAGGCAUUUGACCUGAACCUUAAAGGGAAGGAAAAGUCCCAAUUACUAGAGGUGAUUCCAGACAUGGGGUGACUUUCACUGUACAGAAGAAUGAAGGUGGAAGGGAGAGGGUCCAGUAAAUCAGCUUGGUUGUAGUGGAGAAUGCUGUGGGAGGAGCAAGAUACAGUCAGUUUGUAGUGUUCCUGACAAUUUUGCAAUUUAUCCCAAAGGCAAUAGCAUCCACCAGGGUUUCUGUACGGAGAUUAGUCCUGUCCUUACUAAUCCAGAUCCCUGCCUCAUAGUUGCCUGACCCCUUCUACAUUUAAGGAAUCAGCAUGGGAUAGUUGAAAGCUUGAACUAGGGUGUCUGUGGUGUGCAUGGAGGGAAGGGGUGGUGGUGGGGGUGACAUUGAUGAAAUUUAAAGUAAUUGGAUAUGAGGAGUGAGUGAACUGAGUGAAGGGCCAAGGAAGACUCCUAGCUUGGAAACCCGGAAAUGAGAAAAUGCUGAAGAUGGCUUGUAAAUUGCCAAACAUGGGAAGACUUGUUGGAACUGAGAAGAAGUGAAGAAAGUUGAACAGAAGAACAUACCCGAUGACUACAAUAAUGUCAACAAAAGCCAGCACUAAAGGACAUUAGAACAUGGAGGAGAUCCGGCACCAGAGGAUGGAACCCAGGACAUCUCAAAGCAGAAAUGGAGACUUCAGAAUUUACCAAGACUGGAAAAAUCAUCAAAUAUGGAAACCUGGUUUCUUCAAUCUACAGAAGAGCUCCAAGAUCUGCAGCCAGGGAAUGGACACCAGCAUGAGAACAUAAGUCCCAGAAAACACCUUUUGUAGCUCCGUGGGCCUGUGGUCGCCAUUAUCAUCAUCAUUGUCGACAUUAUUGUUGUCCUCGUCGUCGUCCUCAUCCUCGUCGUCACUGCUCCAUGCUGUCUGGACCAGAGUGAUCCUUCUUUGUAAUCCAAAGUCAAAUCUACAGAGAAAGCAUGGCCCAUGGUCACAAAGGGACAUUGCUGCUGCUGCUCAACACUGCCAGUGCCAUUAGAAUUCUAAAUUACUUGAGAAUGCCUCAUGGAUUUGGGCAAGUUCUCUUUCGUUUUCCAGUCUAUGAACUCCCCAGAGAUUCAAUCCAGUUGUUCUGGGUUUCCAUUUUCCCUAAAGUGAAGCCUUUACAUCUCGGAAAACUUUGACAGAAAGCUAAGAGCAAGACUCAAGAAUAGAACCCAGCAUUCCUAGCUAUUGCAUCCAGUGUUCAAUCAUAUUAACAAUUUCUUGAAAGAAACACUACUAAAUUAUGAUCAUGGCUGGCCAGCUCAGACAUAUUCUUCAAGUGUAAUUGAUAAAGAAUACUCAGGUGAAUUUGUGGAAGUAGAUCACUGCUUCCUCCUAAUCUUCCCUAGUGCUCCUCUUUUGGGGAACUGUUUUAAUUUGUUUCAGGAGUGGAAGUUCUUGCACCCCCUAAAAAACCCCAAGAUGGUGGAACAGAGAGAACAUUCCAGUGGAACUCUACCAACUUGCCUUUCCAAAAAACUUGAAAAUAUCAAAUAAUCAAAUUCUGAAGUGCCAUACAAAGAAAAAGUUUGUCCAGCUGAAAAAAAUGUUUGAGGUGAGGAGAAGUUUGGGUCACUGGCUCAGAAGGCAAAGGGAAGGGCACUUACUAUGGAUCUUGGAGGACGGGAGGCACAGUGAUAGCUGCAGGAAUAGUUGUCACAUUUCUUAAAGUUUUCACUGCCAAGAAACCAAGUAUUAGACAACUGCUAAAAAGGUGAUUAGGGGCAGCUCUGUGUGGGCACGGUAGACAUUACCAGUUUCACACAAAGGGGGAGAGAGGCCAAUGCCAUCACAAAAAACUGGUGGUAACACCUGGAGCUCCAGAGUGAAGACGAUCACUUGUUAUCACAAGUAAACACAUUCCCUGCUACUGCUCCAGGGUGAAGAGGAGCACCUGCCAGCAUGAUGACAAGGAAGAGGAAGUCCCCCCUGCAGCUACUAGGUGAAGAGACCUUGCUAUAACAAAAAAAGCAAUAGUCCCAGCUGCAUCUCAGGGGUGCAUAGAGGCCUUUCCCAUUACAACAAAGCAGAGGUAUCGGCUGCAGUUCCAGUUUGAAGAAGACCACUUUCCCAUCACAAGUAACCAGAAGUCCCAGCUGUGGGUCCAGGGUGAGGAAGAGCACUUGUCAUCACAAUUAAUCAGAAGUCCCUGCUGCUGCUCCAGGGUGAAGAACAACAGUUGCCACCACAAGUUACCAGAAGUCCCUGAUGCUGCUCCAGGGUGAAGAGGAGCACUUGCCAUCACAAGUAACUAGAAUUCCCUGUAACAAGCUCCAGGGUGAAGAGGAGCACUUGCCAUCACAAGCAAGUAGUGGUCCCAGCUGCAGCCAUGGGACGGAGAGAGGGCUUUGGCAUCACAACAAACCAGAGGUCCCAGUUGCAGCUCCAGUUAGAAGAAAAACACUUUGCAUCACAAGUCACCAGAAUUCCCAGCUGCGGGUCCAGGGUGAAGAAAAGAACUUGCCAUCACAAGUAGCCAGAAGUCCCUGCUGCUGCUCCAGGGGGAAGAGGAGAACUUGCCAUCAAAAUGAAGCAGAGGUCCCAGCUGCAGCUCUGGGGUGGAGAGAGGCCUUUGUCAUCACAACCAAGCAGAGGUCCCAGCUGCAGUUUGCAUUUGAAGAACACUUCCCAUCAUCACAAGAAACCAGAAGUCCCUGCUGCUACUCCAGGGUGAAGAAGAACAAUUGCCAUUACAAGUUACUAGAAGUACCUGCUGCAGCUCCAGGGAGAAGAGGAAGACUUGCCAUCACAAGUAACCAGAAGGCCCAGCUGCAGCUACUGGGUGAAGACCAAUUGCCAUCACAAAAAUGGAAAGAACGCAGCUGAAGCUCCAGGGUAGAGAGAGGCCUUUGCCAUCAAACCCAUGUAGAGGUCUCAGUUACAGCUCCAGGAUACAGAGAGGCCUUUGCCAUCACAACCAAGCAGAGGUACCAGCUGCAGAUCCAGGAUGGAGAGAGGCCUUUGCCAUCACAACCUAGCAGAGUUCUAAGCUGCAGCUCCCGUUGGAAGAAGAAAACUUGCCAUAACAAAUAACGGGAAAUCCCAGCUGCAGGUCCAGUGUGACGAAAAGAAAUUGCCAUCACAAGUUACCAAAAGUCCCUGCUGCUGCUCCACAGUGAAGCGGAAAACUGGCCACCACAAGUAACCAGAAGUCCCUGCUGCAGCUCCAGGGUGAAGAGCAACACUUGCCAUCACAAGUUACCAGAAGUCCUUGAUGCUGCUCCAGGGUGAAGAACAGCAGUUGCCAUCACAAGUUACAAGAAGUCCCUGCUGCUGCUCUAGGGUGAAGAUGAACACUUGCCAUCACAAGUUACCAGAAGUCCCUGCUUCUGCUCCACAAUGAAGAGGAACACUUGCCAUCACAAGUUAGCAGAAAUCUUUCCUGCAGCUACUGGUUGAAGAAGACCAAUUGCCCUAAGAAAAAUGCAGAGGACGCAGCUGCAGCUUAGGGAUGCAGAGAGGCCUUUGCCAUCACAACUAAGCAGAUGUGCAAGCUGCAACUCCCGUUUGAAGAGGAACACUUCCUAUCACCAAUAACUGGAAGUCCCAGGGCAAGGUCCAGUGUGAUGAAAAGAACUUGCUAACACAAGUAACCAGAAGUCCCUGCUGCUGCUCCAGGGUGAAGAGGAACACUUGUCAUCACAAGUAACCAGAAGUCACUGCUGUUGUCCAAGGGUGAAGACGAACACUUGCCAACACAAGUUAACAGAAGUCCCUGCUGCGGCUCCAGGGUGAACAGGACCACUUGCCAUCAAAAGUUACCAGAAGUCCCUGCUGCAGCUCCUUGGUGAAGAGGACCACUUGCCAUCACAAGUUACCAGAAGUCCCUGCUGCAGCUACAGGGUGAACAGGACCACUUGCCAUCAAAAGUUACCAGAAGUCCCUCCUGCAGUUCCAGGGUGAAGAGGAACACUUGCCAUCACAAGUUACCAGAAGUCCUUGAUGCUGCUCCAGGGUGAAGAACAACAGUUGCCAUCACAAGUUACAAGAAGUCCCUGCUGCUUAUCCAGAGUGAAGAUGAACACUUGCCAUCACAAGUUACCAGAAGUCCCGGCAGCAGCUGCAGGGUGAAGAGGAUCACUUGCCAUCAAAAGUUACCAGAAAUCUUUCCUGCAGCUACUGGGUGAAGAAGACCAAUUGCCCUAAGAAAAAUGCAGAGGACUCAGCUGCAGCUUAGGGAUGGAGAGAGGCCUUUACCAUCACAACUAAGCAGAUGUGCAAGCUGCAACUCCCGUUUGAAGAAGAACACUUCGUAUCACCAAUAACUGGAAGUCCCAGCGGCAGGUCCAGUGUGAUGAAAAGAACUUGCCACCACAAGUAACCAGAAGUCCCUGCUGCUGCUCCAGGGUGAAGAGGAACACUUGUCAGCACAACUUACCAGAAAUCCUUGCUGUAGCUCCAGGGUGAAGAAGACCACGUGUGACCACAAGUACCCAGAAGUCCCUGCUGCUGUUCUAGGGUGACGAGGAACACUUAUGACGCCAAGUAACCAGAAGUCCCUGCUGCUGCUCCAGGGUGAAAGGGAACACUUGCCAGCACAACUUACCAGAAGUCCCUGCUGCAGCUCCAGGGUAUAGAGGAACACUUGCCAGGUCAACUUACCAGAAGUCCCUGCUGCUGCUCCAGGGUGAAGAGGAACACUUGCCAGCAUAACUUACCAGAAGUCCCUGCUGCUGCUCCAGGGUGAAGAGGAAUACUUGCCAGCACAACUUACCAGAAGUCCCUUCUGCAGUUCCAGGGUGAAGAGGAACACUUGCCAUCACAAGUUACAAGAAGUCCCUGCUGCUUAUCCAGAGUGAAGAUGAACAUUUGCCAUCACAAGUUACCAGAAGUCCCUGCUGCAGCUCCCGGGUGAAGAGGACCACUUGCCAUCAAAAGUUACCAGAAAUCUGUCCUGCAGCUACUGGGAGAAGAAGACCAGUUGCCCUAAGAAAAAUGCAGAGGAUGCAGCUGCAGCUUAGGGUGUAGAGAGGCCUUUGCCAUCACAACAAAGAAACUGUCUCAGCUGCAGCUCCACGAUGGAGAGAGGCCUUUGCAAUCACAACUACACAGAUGUCCCAGCUGCAGCUUAUGGGUGGAGGGAGGCCUUUGCCAUCACAACUAAGCAGAGGUCUAAGCUGCAGCGCCCAUUUGAAGAAUAACACUUCCUAUCACCAACAACUGUAAGUCACAGUUGCAGGUCCAGUGUGACGAAAAGAACUUUCCACCACAAGUAACCAGAAGUCCCUGCUGCUGCUCCACAGUGAAGAGGAAGACUUGCCAUCACAAGUUAACAGAAGUCCCUGCUGCAGCUCCAGGGUGAAGAGUAACACUUGCCAUCACAAGUUAACAGAAGUCCUUGAUGCUGCUCCAGGGUGAAGAGUAACACUUGCCAUCACAAGUUAACAGAAGUCCUUGAUGCUGCUCCAGGGUGAAGAACAACAGUUGCCAUCACAAGUUAUAAGAAGUCCCUGCUGCUGCUCCAGGGUGAAGAUGAACACUUGCCAUCACAAGUUACCAGAAGUCCCUGCUACAGCUCCAGGGUGAAGAGGAACACUUGCCAUCACAAGUUACCAGAAGUCCCUGCAGCAGCUCCAGGGUGAAGAGGACCACUUGCCAUCACAAGUUACCAGAAGUCCCUGCUGCAGCUACAGGGUGAACAGGACCACUUGCCAUCAAAAGUUACCAGAAAUCUUUCCUGUAGCUACUGGGUGAAGAAGACCAAUUUCCCUAAGAAAAAUGCAGAGGACGCAGCUGCAGCUUAGGGGUGGAGAGAGGUCUUUGCUAUCAAAACAAAGUAGAGGUCUCAUUUAUCGCUCCAGGAGAGAAUGAGCCCUUUGCCAUCAGAACUACGCAGAUGGCCCAAGUGUAGCUUAGAAGUGGAGAGACCCCUUGGCCAUCACAACUAAACAGAGGUCCAAGCUGCAGCAACCGUUUGAAGAAGAACACUUCCUAUCACCAAUAACUUGAUGUCCCAGCUGCAGGUCCAUUGUGACAAAAAGAACUUGCCACCACUAGUAACCAGAAGUCCCUACUACAGCUCCAGGGUGAAGAGGAACAGUUGCCAGCACAACUUACCAGAAGUCCCUGCUACAGCUCCAGGGUGAAGAGGAACACUUGCCAGCACAACUUACCAGAAAGUUGUAGCUCCUUGCUGUAGCUCCAGGGUGAAGAAGACCACGUGUGACCACAAGUACCCAGAAGUGCCUGCUGCUGCUCUGGGGUGACAAGGAACACUUAUGACCCCAAGUAACCAGAAGUCCCUGCUGCCGCUACAGGGUGAAGAGAAACACUUGUCAUCACAAGUAACCAGAAAUCCCUGCUGCUGCCCUAGGCUGAAAAGGAACACUUGCCAACACAACUUACCAGAAGUCCCUGCUGCUGCUCCAGGGUGAAGAGGAAUACUUGCCAGCACAACUUACCAGAAGUCCCUGCUGCUGCUCCAGGGUGAAGAGGAACACUUGUGACCCCAAGUAACCAGAAGUCCCUACUGCCGCUGCUGGGUGAAGAGAAAAACUUGUCAUCACAAGUAAGCAGAAGUCCCUGCUGGAGCUCCAGGGUGAAGAGGACCACUUGCCAUGGAAUGUUAGCAGAAAUCGUUCCUGUAACUACUGGGUGAAGAAGACCAAUUGCCCUAAAAAAAAUGCAUAGGACACAGCUGCAGCUUAGGGUUGAGAGAGGCCUUUGCCAUCACAACUACAUAGAAGUGCCAGCUGCAGCUUAUGGGUGGAAGUAGGCCAUUCCCAUCACAACUAAGCGGAGGUCCAAGCUGUAGCUCCCGUUUGAGGAACACUUCCUAUCUCCAAUAACUGGACGUCCCACCUGUAGGUCCAGUGUGACGAAAAGAAUUUGCCACCACAAGUACCCAGAAUCCCUGCUGCUGCUCAAGGGUGAAGAACAACUGUUGCCAUCACAAGUUACCCUGAAGUCCCUGCUGCCGCUCCAGGGUGAAGAGGAACACUAGUCAACACAAGUAGCCAGAAAUCCCUGCUGCUGCUCCAGGGUGAAGAGAAACACUUUUCAUCACAAGUAACCAGCAAUCCCUGCUGCUGCUCCAGGUUGAAGAGGAACACUUGCCAGCACAACUUAACAGAAGUCCCUACUGCCGCUCCAGGGUGAAGAGGAACACUUGCCAUCACAACUUGCCAGAAGUCCCUUCUGCAUCUCCAGGGUGAAGAGGAACACUUCCCAUCACAAGUUAUUAUAAGUCCCUGUUGCAGCUCCAGGGUGAAGAGGAACACUUGCCAUCACAUGUUGUCAGAAGUCCCUUCUUAAGCUCCAGGGUGAAGAGGAAUAAUUGCGAACAUAAGUACCCCUAAUUCCUGCUGCUGCUCGAGGGCGAAGAACAACUGUUGCCAUCAGAUGUUGCCUGAAGUCCCUGCUGCCGCUCCAGGGUGAAGAGGAACACUUCUGACCACAAGUAACCAAAAGUCCCUGCUGCAGCUCUAGGGUGAAGAAGAACAUUUCUGACCACAAGUAACCAAAAGUCCCUGCUGCAGCUCCAGGGUGAAGAGGAACACUUGCCAUCACAAGUAACGAGAAAUCCCUGCUGCUGCUCCAGGGUGAAGAACAACAGUUGCCAUCACAUGUUGCCAGAAGUCCCUGCUGUUGGUCCAGGUUGACGACGAACACUUUUGAUCACAAGUAACCAGAAGUCCCUGCUGUAGUUCCAGGGUGAAGAGGAACACUUGUGAACAGAAGUACCCAGAAGUCCCUGCUGCUGCUCCAGGGUGAAGACGAACAAUUGUCAUCACAAGUAACCAGAAGUCCCUGCUGCGGCUCCAGGGGGAAGAGGACCACGUGCCAUGAAAUGUUACCAGAAAUCUUUCCUGAAGCUACUGGGUGAAGAAGACCAAAUUCCCUAAGAAAAAUGCAGAAGACACAGCUGCAGCUUAGGGGUGGAGAGAGGCCUUUGAUAUCACAACAAAUCAAAGGUCUCAGUUGCAGCUCUGGGUUGGACUGAGGUCUUUGCUAUCACAACCUAGCAGAGGUCUCAUUUACUGCUCCAGGAUAGAACGAGGCCUUUGCCAUCACAACUACGCAGACGUCCCAACUGCAGCUUAGGGGUGGAGAGAGGCCUUUGCCAUCCCAACCAAGUAAAGGUCCAAGCUGCAGCUCCCCUUUGAAGAAGAACACUUCCUAUCACCAAUAACUAGACGUCCCAGCUGCAUGUCCAGUGUGAGAAAAAGAACUUGCCAACACAAGUAACCAGAAAUCCCUGGUGCUGCUCCAGGGUGAAGAACAACAGUUGCCAUCACAACUUGCCGAAGUCCCUGCUGCUGCUCGAGGGUGAAGACAAACACUUGUCAUCACAAGUAACCAGAGUUCCCUGCUGCAGCUCCAGGGUGAAGACGAACAGUUGUCAUCACAAGUACCCAGAAGUCCCUGCUGCUGCUCCAGGGUGACGAACAAUAGUUGCCAUUAAAAGUUGCCUGAAGUCCCUGCAGCUUUUCCAAGGUGAAGAGGAACUCUUGCCAUCACAAGUUACCAGAAGUCCCGGCUGCUGCUCCAAGGUGAAGAGGACCACGUGCCCUGAAAUCUUUUCUGAAACUACUGGGUGAUGAAGAUUAAAUUCCCUAAGAAAAAUGCAGAAGACACAUCUGCAGCUUACGGGUGGAGAGAGGCCUUUGAUAGCACAACAAAUCAGAGGUCGCAGUUGCACCUCUGGGUUGGACAGAGGUCUUUGCUAUCACAACCUAGCAGAGGUCUCAUUUACCGCUCCAGGAUAGAACGAGGCCUUUGCCAUCACAACUACGCAGACUUCCCAACUCCAGCUUAGGGGUGGAGAGAGGUCUUUGCCAUCACAACUAAGCAGAGGUCCAAGCUGCACCUCCUGUUUGAAGAACACUUCCUAUCACCAAUAACUAAAUGUCCCAGCUGCAGGUCCAGUGUGAAGAAAAGAACUUGCCUCCACAAGUAACAAGAAGUCCCUCCUGCUGCUCCAGGGUGAAAAACAAUAUUUGCCAUCACAAGUUGCCAGAAGUCCCUGCUGCUGCUUCAGGGUGAAGAGGAACACUUGUGACCACAAGUACCCAGAAAUCCCUGCUGCUACUCCAUGGUGAAGAACAACAGUUGCCAUCACAAGUAAUCAGAAGUCCCUGCUGUACCUCCAGGGUGAAGAGGAACACUUGUGAUCACAAGUAACCAAAAGUCCCUCCUGCAGCUCCAAGGUGAAGAGGAACAACUUGCCAUCAAAAGUUACCAGAAGGCCCUGCUGUAGCUCCAGGGUGAAGAGGAAAAGUUGUGACCACAAGUACCCAGAGGUCCCUGCUGCUGCUCCAGGGUGAAGAGGAACACUUGUGACCCCAAGUAACCAGAAGUCCCUGCUGCCGCUACAGGGUGAAGAGAAACACUUGUCAUCACAAGUAACCAGAAAUCCCUGCUGCUGCCCUAGGUUGAAAAGGAACACUUGCCAGCACAACUUACCAGAAGUCCCUGCUGCAGCUCCAGGGUAUAGAGGAACAAUUGCCAGGUCAAUUUACCAGAAGUCCCUGCUGCUGCUCUAGGGUGAAGAGGAACACUUGCCAGCACAACUUACCCGAAGUCCCUGCUGCAGCUCCAGCGUAUAGAGGAACACUUGCCAGGUCAACUUACCAGAAGUCCCUGCUGCUGCUCCAGGGUGAAGAGGAACACUUGUGACCCCAAGUAACCAGAAGUCCCUGAAGCCGCUACAGGGUGAAGAGAAACACUUGUCAUCACAAGUAACCAGAAAUCCCUGCUGCUGCUCCAGGUUGAAGAGGACCACUUGCCAUCAAAUGUUAGCAGAAAUCUUUCCUGUAACUACUGGGUGAAGAAGACCAAUUGCCCUAAGAAAAAUGCAUAGGACAGAGCUGAAGCUUAGGGUUGAGAGAGGCCUUUGCCAUCACAACUACAUAGAUGUGCCAGCUGCAGCUUAUGGGUGGAAGGAGGCCAUUCCCAUCACAACUAAGCAGAGGUCCAAGCUGUAGCUCCUGUUUGAAGAACACUUCCUAUCUCCAAUAACUGGACGUCCCACCUGUAGGUCCAGUUUGACGAAAAGAACUUGCCACCACAAGGAACCAGAAGUCCCUGCUGCAUCUCCAGGGUGACGAGGAAUACUUGUGACCACAAGUACCCAGAAUCCCUGCUGCUGCUCAAGGGCAAAGAACAACUGUUGCCAUCACAAGUUACCCUGAAGUCCCUGCUGCCACUCCAGGGUGAAGAGGAACACUAGUCAACACAAGUAGCCAGAAGUCCCUCCUGCUGCUCCAGGGUGAAGAGGAACACUUGCCAUCACAACUUGCCAGAAGUCCCUGCUGCAGCUCCACGGUGAAGAGGAACACUUGCCAUCACAUGUUGUCAGAAGUCCCUUCUUAAGCUCCAGGGUGAAGAGGAAUAAUUGCGACCAUAAAUACCCCUAAUUCCUGCUACUGCUCGAGGGCAAAGAACAACUGUUGCCAUCACAUGUUGCCUGAAGUCCCUGCUGCCGCUCCAAGGUGAAGAGGAACACUUGUGACCACAAGUACGCAGAAGUCCCUGCUGCUGCACCAGGGUGAAGAAAAACAGUUGCCAUUACAAGUUGCCAGAAGUCCCUGCUGCACCUCCAGGGUGAAGAGGAACACUUGUGACCACAAGUAACCAGAAGUCCUUGCUGCAGCUCCAGGGUGAAGAGGAACACUUGCCAUCACAAGUAACGAGAAAUCCCUGCUGCUGCUCCAGGGUGAAGAACAACAGUUGCCAUCACAUGUUGCCAGAAGUCCCUGCUGCUGGUCCAGGGUGACGACAAACACUUUUGAUCACAAGUAACCAGAAGUCCGUGCAUUAGUUCCAGGGUGAAGAGGAACAUUUGUGAACAGAAGUACCCAGAAGUCCCUGUUGCUGCUCCAGGGUGAAGAAGAACACUUGUGACCACAAGUAUCCCAAAGUCUCUGCUGCUGCUCCAGGGUGAAGACGAACAAUUGUCAUCACAAGUAACCAGAAGUCCCUGCUGUAGCUCCAGGGUGAAGAGGAACACUUGUGACCACAAGUACCCAGAAGUCCCUGCUGCUGCUCCAGGGUGAAGAACAACAGUUGCCAAUACAAGUUGCCUGAAGUCCCUGCUGCUGCUCCAAGGUGAAGAGGACCACGUGCCAUGAAAUGUUACCAGAAAUCUUUCCUGAAGCUACUGGAUGAAGAAGACCAAAUUCCCUAAGAAAAAUGCAGAAGACACAGCUGGAGCUUAGAGGUGUAGAGAGUCCUUUGAUAUCACAACAAAUCAAAGGUCUCAGUUGCAGCUCUUGGUUGGACUGAGGUCUUUGCCAUCACAACCUAGCAGAGGUCUCAUUUACUGCUCCAGGACAAAACGAGGCCUUUGCCAUCACAACUACGCAGACGUCCCAACUGCAGCUUAGGGGUGGAGAGAGGCCUUUGCCAUCCCAACCAAGUAAAGGUCGAAGCUGCAGUUACCCCUUUGAAGAAGAACACUUCCUAUCACCAAUAACUAGACGUCCCAGCUGCAUGUCCAGUGUGACAAAAAGAACUUCCCAACACAAGUAACCAGAAAUCCCUGGUGCUGCUCCAGGGUGAAGAACAACAGUUAACAUAACAUAUAACCAGAAGUCCAUGCUGCUACUCCAUGGUGAAGAACAACAGUUGCCAUCACAAGUUGCCAGAAGUCCCUGCUGCUGCUCGAGGGUGAAGACGAACACUUAUCAUCACAAGUAACCAGAAGUCCCUGCUGCAGCUCCAGGGUGAAGUCGAACAGCUGUAAUCACAAGUACCCAGAAGUCCCUGCUGCUGCUCCAGGGUGACGAACAAUAGUUGCCAUUACAAGUUGCCUGAAGUCCUUGUAGCUUUUCCAACGUGAAGAGGAACUCUUGCUAUCAGAAGUUAGCAGAAGUCCCGGUGGUAGCUCCAAGGUGAUGAGGAACACUUGUCAUCACAAGUACCCAGAAGUCCCUGCUGCUGCUCUAGGGUGAAGAAUAACAGUUUCCAUUACAAGUUGACUAAAGUCCCUGCUGCUGUUCCAAGGUGAAGAGGACCAUGUGCCCUGAAAUCUUUUCUAAAUCUACUAGGUGAUGAAGACUAAAUUCCCUAAGAAAAAUGCAGAAGACACAGCUGCAGCUUACGGGUCGAGAGAGGCCUUUGAUAGCACAACAAAUCAGAGGUCGCAGUUGCACCUCUGGGUUGGACAGAGGUCUUUGCUAUCACAACGUAGCAGAGGUCUCAUUUACCGCUCCAGGAUAGAACGAGGCCUUUGCCAUCACAACUAAGCAGAGGUCCAAGCUGCACCUCCCAUUUGAAGAAUACUUCCUAUCACCAAUAACUAAAUGUCCCAGCUGCAGGUCCAGUGUGAAGAAAAGAACUUGCCUCCACAAGUAACCAAAAGUCCCUCCUGCUGCUCCAGGGUGAAAAACAAUAUUUGCCAUCACAAGUUGCCAGAAAUCCCUGGUGCUACUCCAGGGUGAAGAACAAUAGUUAACAUAACAUGUAACCUGAAGUCCCUGCUGCUGCUUCAGGGUGAAGAGGAACACUUGUGACCACAAGUACCCAGAAAUCCCUGUUGCUACUCCAUGGUUAAGAACAACAGUUACCAUCACAAGUUGCCAGAAGUCCCUGCUGUUGCUCCAGGGUGAAGAGGAACACAUGUGAUCACAAGUAACCAAAAGUCCCUCCUGCAGCUCCCAGGUGAAGAGGAACACUUGCCAUCAAAAGUUACCAGAAGUCCCUGCUGCAGCUCCAGGGUGAAGACGAACAUUUGUCAUCACAAGUAAUCAGAAGUCCCUGCUGUAGCUCCAGGGUGAAGAGGAACACUUGUGAGCAAAAGUACGCAGAAGUCCCUGCUGCUGCUGCAGGGUGAAGAGGAACACUUGUGACCACAAGUAACCAGAAUUCCCUGCUGAUGCUCUAGGGUGAAGAGGAAUACUUGUCAUCACAUGUUACCAGAAGUUCCUGCUGCAGGUCCAGGGUAAAGACGAACACUUGUGACCAUAAGUACCCAGAAGUCCCUGCUGCUGCUCCAGGGUGAAGAACAACAGUUUCCAUUACAAGUUCCCUGAAGUCCCUGCUGCUGCUCCAAGGUGAAGAAGACCACCUGCCAUGAAAUGUUACUAGAAAUCUUACCGGAAGCUACUAGGUGAAUAUGACCAAAUUCCCUAAGAAAAAUGCAGAAGACGCAGCUGCAGCUUAGGGGUGGAGAGAGGCCUUUGCCAUCACAACCAAGCAGAGGUCCAAGCUGCAGCUCCUGUUUGAAGAAGAACCCUUCCUAUCACCAAUAACUGGACAUCACAGCUGCAGGUCCAGUGUAAAGAAAAGAACUUGCCUCCACAAGUAUCGAGAAGUCCCUCCUGCUGCUCCAGGGUGAAGAACAACUGUUGCCAUCAAAAGUUACCAGAAGUCCCUGCUGCAGCUCCAGGGUGAAGACGAACAUUUGUCAUCACAAGUAAUCAGAAGUCCCUGCUGUAGCUCCAGGGUGAAGAGGAACACUUGUGAGCAAAAGUACCCAGAAGUCCCUGCUGCUGCUGCAGGGUGAAGAGGAACACUUGUGACCACAAGUACCCAGAAGUCCCUGCUGCUGCUGCAGGGUGAAGAGGAACACUUGUGACCACAAGUAACCAGAAUUCCCUGCUGACGCUCUAGGGUGAAGAGGAAUACUUGUCAUCACAUGUUACCAGAAGUUCCUGCUGCAGGUCCAGGGUAAAGACGAACACUUGUGACCAUAAGUACCCAGAAGUCCCUGCUGUACCUCCAGGGUGAAGAACAACAGUUUCCAUUACAAGUUCCCUGAAGUCCCUGCUGCUGCUCCAAGGUGAAGAAGACCACCUGCCAUGAAAUGUUACUAGAAAUCUUACCGGAAGCUACUAGGUGAAGACGACCAAAUUCCCUAACAAAAAUGCAGAAGACGCAGCUGCAGCUUAGGGGUGGAGAGAGGCCUUUGCCAUCACAACAAAGCAGAGGUCCAAGCUGCAGCCCCUGUUUGAAGAAGAACCCUUCCUAUCACCAAUAACUGGACAUCACAGCUGCAGGUCCAGUGUAAAGAAAAGAACUUGCCUCCACAAGUAUCGAGAAGUCCCUCCUGCUGCUCCAGAGUGAAGAACAACUGUUGCCAUCACAAUUUGCCAGAAGCCCCUGCUACUGCUCCAGGGUGAAGAGGAACACUUGUGACGACAAGUAACCAGAAGUCCCUGCUGACGCUCUAGGUUGAAGAGGGAUACUUGCCAUCACAAGUUACCAGAUGUCCCUGCUGCAGCUCCAGGGUGAAGAGCAACACUUGCCAUCAAAGGUUACCAGAAAUCUUUCCUGUAGCUACUGGGUGAAGAAGACCAAUUACCCCAAGAAAAAUGCAGAGGACGCAGCUGCAGAUUAAGGGUGGAGAGAGGCCUUUUCUAUCAAAACAAAGCAGAGAUCUCAGCUGCAGCUCCAAGAUGGAGAGAGGCGUUUUCCAUCACAACUACAUAGAUGUCCCAGCUGCAGCUUAAGGAUGGAUGUAGGCCUUUGCUAUCACAACUAAGCAGAAGUCCAAGCUGCACCUCCCGUUUGAAGAAAAACACUUCAUAUUCCCCAUAACUAUACGUCCCAGUUGCAUGUCCAGUGUGACAAAAAGAUCUUGCCACCACAAGUAACCAGAAGUCCCUGGUACUGCUCCAGGGUGAAGAACAACAGUUAACAUAACAUGUAAGCAGAAGUCCCUGCUGCUACUCCAGGGUGAAGAACAACAGUUGUCAUCACAAGUAACCAGAAGUCCCUGCUGCUGCUCCAGGGUGAAGAACAACAGUUACCAUUACAAAUUGCCUGAAGUCCCUGCUGCUGCUCCAAGGUGAGGAGGAACACUUGCCAUCACAAGUUACCAGAAGUCCCUGAUGUAGCUCCAGGGUGAAGAGGAACACUUGUGAUCACAAGUUACCAGAAGUCCCUGCUGCUGCUCCAAGGCGAAGAGGAUGACUUGUGACCACAAGUACCCAGAAAUCCCUGCUGCUGCUCCAGGGUGAAGAACAACAGUUGCCAUUACAAGUUGCCUGAAGUACCUGCUGCUGCUCCCAGGUGAAGAGGAACACUUGCCAUCACAAGGUACCAGAAGUCACAGCUGUAGGUCCAGGGUGAAGAGGAACACUUGUGAUCACAAGUUACCAGAAGUCCCUCCUGCUGCUUCAGCGUGAAGAACAACAGUUUCCAUUACAAGUUGCCUGAAGUCCCUGCUGCUGCUCCAAGGUGAAGAGGACCACGUGCCAUGAAAGGUUACUAGAAAUCUUUCCUGAAGCUAGUGGGUGAAGAAGACCAAAUUCCCUAAGAAAAAUGCAGAAGAUACAGCUGUAGCUUAGGGGUGGAGAGAGAAGGCUUUGAUAUCAUAACAAAUCAGAGGUCUCAGUUGCAGCUCUGGGUUGGACAGAGGUCUUUGCUAUCGCAACCUAGCAGAGGUCUCAUUUACCAUUUCAGGAUAGAACGAGGCCUUUGCCAUCACAACUACGCAGACGUCUCAACUGCAGCUUAGGGGUGGAGAGAGGCCUUUGCCAUCACAACUAAGCACAGGUCUCAGCUGCAGUUCUAGGAAGUAGAGACACCUUUGCCAUCACAACCAAGAAGCUGUCUCAGCUGCAGCUCCAAGAUGGAGAGAGGCCUUUGCCAUCACAACUAAGCAGAAGUCCAAGCUGCACCUCCCGUUUGAAGAAGAACACUUCCUAUCACCAAUAAGUAGAUGUCCCAGCUGCAGGUCCAGUGUGAAGAAAAGAACUUGCCUCCACAAGUAAUGAGAAGUCCCUCCUGCUGCUCCAGGGUGAAAAACAACAUUUGCCAUCAUAAGUUGCCAGAAGUCCCUGCUGUAGCUCCAGGUUGAAGAGGAACACUUGUGACCACAAGUAAACAGAAGUCCCUGCUGCUGCUCCAGGGUGAAGAACAACAGUUGCCAUUACAAGUUGCCUGAAGUCCCUGCUGCUGCUCCAAGGUGAAGAGGAACACUUGCCAUCACAAGUUACCAAAAGUCCCUGCUGUAGCUCCAGGGUGAAGAGGAACACUUGUGAUCACAAGUUACCAGAAGUCCCUGUUGCUGCUCCAGGGUGAAGAGGAACAUUUGUGACCACAAGUAACCAGAAAUCCCUGCUGUAGCUCUAGGGUGAAUAGGACCAUUUGAAAUCAAAAGUUACCAGAUAUCUUUCCUGUAGCUACUUGGUGAAGAAGACGAAUUACCCCAAGAAAAUUGCAGAGGACGCAGCUGCAGAUUAGGGGUUGGAGAGAGGCCUUUGCUAUUAAAACAAAAGACGUCUCAGCUACAGCUCCAGGGAGGAGAGAGGCCUUUGCCAUCAGAAGAAAGCAGAGGUCUUAGCUGCAGUUCCAAGAUGGAGAGAGGCCUUUGCCAUCACACUAAGGAGAGGUCCAAGCAGCAACUCCCAUUUGAAGAAGAACACUUCCUAUCACCAAUAACUCGACAUCCCAGCUCCAUGUCCAGUGUGACAAAAAGAACUUGCCACCACAAGAACCCAGAAUUCCCUGCUCCUGCUCCAGGGUGAAGAACAACAGUUGCCAUCACCAGUUGCCAGAAGUCCCUGCUGCUGCUCCAGGGUGAAGAGGAACACUUGUGAUGACAAGUAACCAGAAGUCCCUACUGACGCUCCAGGGUGAAGAGGAAUACUUGCCAUCACACGUUACAAGAAGUCCCUGCUGUAGUUCCAGGGUGAAGAGGAACAUCUGUGACCACAAGUACCCAGAAGUCCCUGCUGCUGCUCCAGGGUGAAGAGUAACACUUGCUAUCACAACUUACCAGAAGUCCCUGCUGCUGCUCCAGGGUGAAGAACAACAGUUGCCAUUACACGUUGCCUGAUGUCCCUGCUGCAGCUCCAGGGUGAAGGGCAACACUUGCCAUCACAAGUUACCAGAAGUCCCUGCUGCAGCUCCAGGGUGAAGAGGAACACUUGUCAUCAAAAGUAUCCAGAAGUCCCUGCUGCUGCUCCAGGGUGAAGAGGAACACUUGUGACCACAAGUACCCAGAAGUCCCUGCUGCAGCUCCAGGGUGAAGAAUAACAGUUUCCAUUACAAGUUGACUAAAGUCCCUGCUGCUGCUCCAAGGUGAAGAGGACCACGUGCCAUGAAAUGUUGCCAGAAAUCUUUCCUGAAGUUACUGGGUGAAGAAGACCAAUUUCCCUAAGAAAAAUGCAGAAGAAAUAGCUGCAGGUUAGGGGUGGAGAGAGACCUUUGAUAUCACAACAAAUCAGAGGUCUCAGUUGCAGCUCUGGGUUGGACAGAGGUCUUUGCUAUCACAACCUAGCAUAGGUCUCAUUUGCUGCUCUAGGAAAGAAUGAGGCCUUUGCCAUCACAACUACUGAGACGUCCCAACUGCAGCUUAGGGGUGGAGAGAGGCCUUUGCCAUCACAACCAAGCAGAGGUCCAAGCUGCAGCUCCCGUUUGAAGAAGAACACUUACUAUCACCAAUAAAUGGACAUCAUAGCUGCGGGUCCAGUGUAAAGAAAAGUACUUGCCUCCAAAAGUAACCAGAAGUCCCUCCUGCUGCUCUAGGGUGAAGAACAACAGUUGCCAUCACCAGUUGCCAGAAGUCCCUGCUGCUGCUCCAGGGUGAAGAGGAACACUUGUGAUGACAAGUAACCAGAAGUCCCUACUGACGCUCCAGGGUGAAGAGGAAUACUUGCCAUCACAUGUUACCAGAUGUCCCUGCUGCAGCUCCAGGGUGAAGUGCAACACUUGCCAUCACAAGUUACCAGAAGUCCCUGCUGUAGCUCCAGGGUGAAGAGGAACAGUUGCCGUCACAAGUUACCAGAAGUCCCUGCUGCAGCUCCAGGGUGAAGAGCAACACUUGCCAUCACAAGUUCCCAGAAGUCCCUGCUGCAGCUCCAGGGUGAAGAGCAACACUUGCCAUCACAAGUUACCAGAAGUCCCUGCUGUAGCUCCAGGGUGAAGAGGAACACUUGCGCUCACAAGUUACCAGAAGUCCCUGCUGCUGCUGUAGGGUGAAGAAUAACAGUUGCCAUCACAAGUUGCCAGAAGUCCCUGCUGCUGCUGUAGGGUGAAGAAUAACAGUUGCCAUUACAAGUUGACUAUAGUCCUUGCUGCUGCUCCAAGGUGAAGAGGACCAGGUGCUAUGAAAUGUUACCAGAAAUCUUUACUGAAGCUAGUGGGUGAAGAAGACCAAUUUCCCUAAGAAAAAUGCAGAAGACACAGCUGCAGCUUAGGGGUGGAGAGAGGCCUUUGAUAUCACAACAAAUCAGAGGUCUCAGUUGCAGCGCUGGGUUGGACAGAGGUCUCUGCUAUCACACCCUAGCAGAGGUCUCAUAUACCGCUCCUGGACAGAACGAGGCCUUUGCCAUCACAACUACGCAGACGUCCCAAAUGGAACUUAGGGUUGGAAAGAGGCCUUUGCCAUCAAAACCAAGCAGAAGUACAAGCUGUACCUCCCGUUUGAAGAAGAACACUUCCUAUCACCAAUAACUGAACAUCACAGCUGCAGGUCCAAUGUGAAGAAAAGAACUUGCCUCCACAAGUAACCAGAAGUCCCUCCUCCUGCUCUAGGGUGAAGAACACCAGUUGCCAUCACAAUUUGCCACAAGUCCCUGCGGCUGCUCCAGGGUGAAGAACACUUGUGGUGACAAGUAACCAGAAGUUCCUGCUGAGGCUCCAGGGUGAAGAGGAACACUUGUGACCACAAGUACCCAGAAGUCCCUGCUGCUGCUCCAGGGUGAAGAACAACAGUUGCCAUUACAAGUUACCAGAAGUCCCUGCUGUAGCUCCAGGGUGAAGAGGAACACUUGUGACCACAAGUACCAGAAGUCCCUGCUGCUGCUCCAGGGUGAAGAAUAACAGUUUCCAUUACAAGUUGACUAAAGUCCCUGCUGCUGCUACAAGGUGAAGAGGACCACGUGCCAUGAAAUGUUGCCAGAAAUCUUUCUUGAAGCUAGUAGGUGAAGAAGACCAAUUUUGCUAAGAAAAAUGCAGAAGACACAGCUGCAGCUUAGGGGUGGAGAGAGGCCUUUGAUAUCACAACAAAUCAGAGGUCUCUGUUGCAGCGCUGGGUUGGACAGAGGUCUUUGCUAUCACACCCUAGCAGAGGUCUCAUAUACCGCUCCAAGAUAGAACGAGGCCUUUGCCAUCACAACUACGCAGACGUCCCAACUGCAGCUUAGGGGUGGAGAGAGGCCUCCAUCACAACCAAGCAGAAGUACAAGCUGCACCUCCCGCUUGAAGAAGAACACUUCCUAUCACCAAUAACUGAACAUCACAGCUGCAGGUCCAGUGUGAAGAAAAGAACUUGCCUCCACAAGUAACCAGAAGUCCCUCCUCCUGCUCUAGGGUGAAGAACACCAGUUCCCAUCACAAUUUGCCAGAAGUCCCUGCGGCUGCUCCAGGGUGAAGAACACUUGUGGCGACAAGUAAACAGAAGUUCCUGCUGACGCUCCAGGGUGAAGAGCAACAGUUGCCAUUACAAGUUACCAGAAGUCCCUGCUGUAGCUCCAGCGUAAAGAGGAACACUUGUGAUCACAAGUACCCAGAAGUCCCUGCUGUAGCUCCAGCGUGAAGAGGAACACUUGUGACCACAAGUACCCAGAAGUCCCUGCUGCUGCUCCAGGGUGAAGAACAACAGUUGCCAUUACAAGUUGCCUGAUGUACAUGCUGCUGCUCCAAGGUGAAGAGGAACACUUGCCAUCACAAGUUACCAGAAGUCCCUGCUGUAGCUCCAGGGUGAAGAGGAACACUUGUGAUCACAAGUUACCAGAAGUCCCUGCUGUAGCUCCAGGGUGAAGAGGAACACUUGUGAUCACAAAUUACCAGAAGUCCCUGCUGCUCCUCUAGGGUGAAGAAUAACAGUUUCCAUUACAAGUUGACUAAAGUCCCUGCUGUUGCUCCAAGGUGAAGAGGUCCAAGUGCCAUGAAAUGUUGCCAGAAAUCUUUCCUGAAGAUACUGGGUGAAGAAGACCAAUUUCCCUAAGAAAAAUGCAGAAGACAUAGCUGCAGAUUAGUGGUGGAGAGAGGCCUUUGAUAUCACAACAAAUCAGAGGUCUCAGUUGCAGCUCUGGGUUGGACAGAGGUCUUUGCUAUCACAACCUAGCAUAGGUCUCAUUUACCGCUCCAGGAAAGAAUGAGGCCUUUGCCAUCACAACUACGCAGACGUCCCAACUGCAGCUUAGGGGUCGAGAGAGGCCUUUGCCAUCACAACCAAGCAGAGGUCCAAGCUGCAGCUCCCGUUUGAAGAAGAACACUUCCUAUCACCAAUAAGUGGACAUCACAGCUGCGGGUCCAGUGUGAAGAAAAGCACUUGCCUCCAAAAGUAACCAGACGUCCCUCCUGCUGCUCUAGGGUGAAGAACAACAGUUGCCAUCACAAGUUACCAGAAGUCCCUGCUGCUGCUCUAGGGUGAAGAAUAACAGUUUCCAUUACAAGUUGACUAAAGUCCCUGCUGCUGUUCCAAGGUGAAGAGGACCAAGUGCCAUGAAAUGUUUCUAGAAAUCUUUCCUGAAGCUACUGGGUGAAGAAGACCAAUUUCCGUAAGAAAAAUGCAGAAGACACAGCUGCAGCUUAGUGGUGGAGAGAGGCCUUUGCCAGUACAACCAAGCAGAGGUCCAAGCUGCAGCUCCCGUUUGAAGAAGAACACUUAAUAUGACCAAUAACUGGACAUCACAGCUGCGGGUCCAGUGUGAAGAAAAGCACUUGCCUCCAAAAGUAACCAGAAGUCCCUCCUGCUGCUCUAGGGUGAAGAACAACAGUUGCCAUCACAAGUUGUCAGAAGUCCCUGCUGCAGCUCCACGGUGAAGAGCAACACUUGCCAUCACAAGUUACCAGAAGUCCCUGCUGUAGCUCCAGGGUGAAGAGGAACACUUGUGAUCACAAGUUACCAGAAGUCCCUGCUGCUGCUCCAGGGUGAAGAACAACAGUUUCCAUUACAAGUUGCCUAAAGUCCCUGCUGCUGCUCCAAGGUGAAGAGGACCACGUGCCAUGAAAUGUUACCAGAAAUCUUUCCUGAAGCUACUGGGUGAAGAAGACCAAUUUCGCUAAGAAAAAUGCAGAAGACACAGCUGCAGCUUAGGGGUGGAGAGAGGCCUUUGAUAUCAUAACAAAUCAGAGGUCUCAGUUGCAGCUCUGGGUUGGACAGAGGUCUUUGCUAUCACAACCUAGCAGAGGUGUCAUAUACCGCUCCAGGAUAGAAUGAGGCCUUUGCCAUCACAACUACGCAGACGUCCCAACUGCAGCUUAGGGGUGGAGAGAGGCCUUUGCCAUCACAACCAUGCAGAGGUCCAAGCUGCAGCUCCCGUUUGAAGAAGAACACUUAAUAUCACCAAUAACUGGACAUCACAGCUGCGGGUCCAGUGUGAAGAAAAGCACUUGCCUCCAAAAGUAACCAGAAGUCCCUCCUGCUGCUCUAGGGUGAAGAACAACAGUUGCCAUCACAAGUUGCCAGAAGUCCCUGCUGCUGCUCCAGGGUGAAGAGGAACACUUGUGAUGACAAGUAACCAGAAGUCCCUGCUGACGCUCCAGGGUGAAGAGGAAUACUUGCCAUCACAAGUUACCAGAAGUCCCUGCUGCAGCUCCAGGGUGAAGAGCAACACUUGCCAUCACAAGUUAACAGAAGUCCCUGCUGCAGCUCCAGGGUGAAGAGCAACACUUGCCAUCACAAGUUACCAGAAGUCCCUGCUGCUGCUCUAGGGUGAAGAAUAACAGUUUCCAUUACAAGUUGCCUAAAGUCCCUGCUGCUGCUCCAAGGUGAAGAGGACCACGUGCCAUGAAAUGUUUCUAGAAAUCUUUCCUGAAGCUACUGGGUGAAGAAGACCAAUUUCCCUAAGAAAAAUGCAGAAGACACAGCUGCAGCUUAGUGGUGGAGAGAGGCCUUUGCCAGUACAACCAAACAGAGGUCCAAGCUGCAGCUCCCGUUUGAAGAAGAACACUUCCUAUCACCAAUAAGUGGACAUCACAGCUGCAGUUCCAGUGUGAAGAAAAGCACUUGCCUCCAAAAGUAACCAGAAGUCCCUCCUGCUGCUCCAGGGUGAAGAACAACAGUUGCCAUCACAAGUUGGCAGAAGUCCUUGCUGCUGCUCCAGGGUGAAGAGGAACACUUGUGAUGACAAGUAACCAGAAGUCCCUGCUGACGCUCCAGGGUGAAGAGGAAUACUUGCCAUCACAAGUUACCAGAAGUCCCUGCUGUAGCUCCAGGGUGAAGAGGAACACUUGUGAUCACAAGUUACCAGAAGUCCCUGCUGCUGCUCCAGGGUGAAGAACAACAGUUUACAUUAUAAGUUGCCUAAAGUCCCUGCUGCUGCACCAAGGUGAAGAGGACCACGUGCCAUGAAAUGUUACUAGAAAUCUUUCCUGAAGCUAAUGGGUGAAGAAGACCAAUUUCGCUAAGAAAAAUGCAGAAGACACAGCUGCAGCUUAGGGGUGGAGAGAGGCCUUUGAUAUCAUAACAAAUCAGAGGUCUCAGUUGCAGCUCUGGGUUGGUCAGAGGUCUUUGCUAUCACAACCUAGCAGAGGUGCCAUAUACCGCUCCAGGAUAGAAUGAGGCCUUUGCCAUCACAACCAAGCUGAGGUCCAAGCUGCAGCUCCCGUUUGAAGAAGAACACUUAAUAUCACCAAUACCUGGACAUCACAGCUGCGGGUCCAGUGCGAAGAAAAGCACUUGCCUCCAAAAGUAACCAGAAGUCCCUCCUGCUGCUCUAGGGUGAAGAACAACAGUUGCCAUUACAAGUUGCCAGAAGUCACUGCUGCUGCUCCAGGGUGAAGAGGAACACUUGUGAUGACAAGUAACCAGAAGUCCCUGCUGACGCUCCAGGGUGAAGAGGAACACUUGCCAUCACAAGUUACCAGAAGUCCCUGCUGCAGUUCCAGGGUGAAGAGCAACACUUGCCAUCAAUAGUUACCAGAAGUCCCUGCUGUAGCUCCAGGGUGAAGAGGAACACAUGUGAUCACAAGUUACCAGAAGUCCCUGCUGCUGCUCUAGGGUGAAGAAUAACAGUUUCCAUUACAAGUUGACUAAAGUCCCUGCUGCUGUUCCAAGGUGAAGAGGACCACGUGCCAUGAAAUGUUUCUAGAAAUCUUUCCUGAAGCUACUGGGUGAAGAAGACCAAUUUCCCUAAGAAAAAUGCAGAAGACACAGCUGCAGCUUAGUGGUGGAGAGAGGCCUUUGCCAGUACAACCAAGCAGAGGCCCAAGCUGCAGCUCCCGUUUGAAGAAGAACACUUCCUAUCACCAAUACGUGGACAUCACAGCUGCAGUUCCAGUGUGAAGAAAAGCACGUGCCUCCAAAAGUAACCAGAAGUCCCUCCUGCUGCUCUAGGGUGAAGAACAACAGUUGCCAUCACAAGUUCCCAGAAGUCCCUGCUGCAGCUCCAGGGUGAAGAGCAACACUUGCCAUCACAAGUUACCGGAAGUCCCUGCUGUAGCUCCAGGGUGAAGAGGAACACUUGUGAUCACAAGUUACCAGAAGUCCCUGCUGCUACUCCAGGGUUAAGAACAAAAGUUGCCAUCACAAGUUGCCAGAAGUCCCUGCUGCUGCUCCAGGGUGAAGAACAACAGUUCCCAUGACAAGUUGCCAGAAGUCCCUGCUGUUGCUCCAGGGUGAAGAGGAACACUUGUGACCACAAGCAACUAGAAGUCCCUGCUGACGCUCCAGUGUGAAGAGGAAUACUUGCUAUCACAAGAUACCAGAAGUUCCUGCUGCAGCUCCAGGGUGAAGAGGAACACUUGUCAUCAAAAGUAUCCAGAAGUCCCUGCUGUAGCUCCAGGGUGAAGAGGAACACUUGUUAUCACAAGUACCCAGAAGUCCCUGCUGCCGCUCCAGGUUGAAGAGCAAGACUUGUCAUCCUAAGUUGCCAGAAGUCCCUGCUGUAGCUCCAGGGUGAAUAGGACCAUUUGCCAUCAAAAGUUACCAGAAAUCUUUCCUGUAGCUACCGGGUGAUGAAGACCAAUUACCCCAAGAAAAAUGCAGUGGACCCAGCUGCAGAUUAGGGGGGGAGAGAGGCCUUUUCUAUCAAAACAAAGCAGAGGUCUCAGCUACAGCUCAGUGGUGGAGAGAGGCCUUUGCUAUCAGAAGAAAGCAGAGGUCUCAGCUGCAGUUCCAGGAUGCAGAGACAAAUUUUCCAUCACAACCAAGCAGCUGUCUCAGCUGCAGCUCCAAGAUGGAGAGAGGCCUUUGCCAUCACAACCAAGCAGAGGUCCAAGCUGCAGCUCCCAUUUGAAGAAGAACACUUACUAUCACCAAUAACUGGACAUCACAGCUGCAGGUCCAGUGUGAAGAAAAGCACUUGCCUCCAAAAGUAACCAGAAGUCCCUCCUGCUGCUCUAGGGUGAAGAAUAACAGUUGCCAUCACAAGUUGCCAGAAGUCCCUGCUGCUGCUCCAGGGUGAAGAGGAACACUUGUGAUGACAAGUAACCAGAAGUCCCUGCUGACGCUCCAGGGUGAAGAGGAAUACUUGCCAUCACAAGUUACCAGAAGUCCCUGCUGCAGCUCCAGGGUGAAGAGCAACACUUGCCAUCACAAGUUACCAGAAGUCCCUGCUGUACCUCCAGGGUGAAGAACAACAGUUUACAUUACAAGUUGCCUAAAGUCCCUGCUUCUGCACCAAGGUGAAGAGGACCACGUGCCAUGAAAUGUUACCAGAAAUCUUUCCUGAACAUAAUGGGUGAAGAGGACCACGUGCCAUGAAAUGUUACCAGAAAUCUUUCCUGAAGCUAAUGGGUGAAGAAGACCAAUUUCCCUAAGAAAAAUGCAGAAGACACAGCUGCAGCUUAGGGGUGGAGAGAGGCCUUUGAUAUCAUAACAAAUCAGAGGUCUCAGUUGCAUCUCUGGGUUGGACAGAGGUCUUUGCUAUCACAACCUAGCAGAGGUGUCAUAUACCGCUCCAGGAUAGAAUGAGGCCUUUGCCAUCACAACUACGCAGACGUCCCAACUGCAGCUUAGGGGUGGAGAGAGGCCUUUGCCAUCACAACCAAGCAGAGGUCCAAGCUGCAGCUCCCGUUUGAAGAAGAACACUUCCUAUCACCAAUAAGUGGACCUCACAGCUGCAGGUCCAGUGUGAAAAAAAGCACUUGCCUCCAAAAGUAACCAGAAGUCCCUUCUGCUGCUCUAGGGUGAAGAACAACAGUUGCCAUCACAAGUUGCAAGAAGUCCCUGCUGCUGCUCCAGGGUGAAGGGGAAAACUUUUGACCACAAAUACCCAGAAGUCCCUGCUGCUGCUCCAGGGUGAAGAGGAACACUUGCCAUCACAAGUUACCAGGAGUCCCUGCUGCAUCUCCAGGGUGAAGAGGAACAGUUGCCAUCACAAGUUACCAGAAGUCCCUGCUGCUACUCCAGGGUGAAGAACAACAGUUGCCCUCACAAUUUGCCAGAAGUCCCUGCUGCCGCUCCAGGGUGAAGAGGAACACUUGUGACCACAAGGACCCAGAAGUCCCUGCUGCUGCUCCUAGGUGAAGAGCAACACUUGCCAUCACAAGUUACCAGAAGUCCCUGCUGCUGCUCCAGGGUGAAGAGGAACACUUGCCAUCACAAGUUACCAGAAGUCCCUGCUGCUGCUCCAGGGUGAAGAACAAUAGUUGCCAUUACAAGGUGCCAGAAGUCCCUGCUGACGCUCCAGUGUGAAGAGGAAUACUUGCCAUCACAAGAUACCAGAAGUUCCUGCUGCAGCUCCAGGGUGAAGAGGAACAGUUGCCAUCACAAGUUACCAGAAGUCCCUGCUGCUACUCCAGGGUGAAGAACAACAGUUGCCCUCACAAUUUGCCAGAAGUCCCUGCUGCUGCUCCAGGGUGAAGAGGAACACUUGUGACCACAAGGACCCAGAAGUCCCUGCUGCUGCUCCUAGGUGAAGAGGAACACUUGCCAUCAGAAGUUACCAGAAGUCCCUGUUGCUGCUCCAGGGUGAAGAACAAUAGUUGCCAUUACAAGUUGCCAGAAGUCCCUGCUGCUGCUCCAAGGUGAAGAGGAACACUUGCCAUCACAAGUUACCAGAAGUCCCUGCUGCUGCUCCAGGGUGAAGAACAAUAGUUGCCAUUACAAGGUGCCAGAAGUCCCUGCUGACGCUCCAGUGUGAAGAGGAAUACUUGCCAUCACAAGAUACCAGCAGUUCCUGCUGCAGCUCCAGGGUGAAGACGAACACUUGUCAUCACAAGUAACCAGAAGUCCCUGCUGUAGCUCCAGGGUGAAGAGGAACACUUGUGAUCCCAAGUUACCAGAAGUCCCUGCUGCAGCUCCUGGCUGAAGAGGUACACAUUUCACCACAAGUAACCAGAAGUCCCUGUAGCAGCUCCAGGGUGAAGACGAACACUUGCCAUCACAAGUAAGCAGAAGUCCCUCCUGCAGCUCCAGGGUGAAGAACAACAGUUGCCAUCACAAAUUACUUGAAGUUCCUGCUGCAGGUCCAGGGUGAAGAGGAACACUUGCCAUCACACUUUACUCGAAGUCCCGGCCAUUGCUCCAGGGUGAAGAGGAAAACUUGCCAUCACAAGUAACCAGAAUUUCCUGAUGCCACUCGAGGGUGAAGAGGUGCCAUCAAAAAUUACGAGAAGUCCCUGCUGCUGUUCCAGGGGUAAAUAAGAGCAGUCCCAUCACACGUAACCAGAAUUCCCUGCUAUAGUGACAGGGUGAAGAGGAACACUUGCCAUCACACUUUACUCGACGUCCCGGCUAUUGCUCCAGGGUGAAGAGGAAAACUUGCCAUCACAAGUAACCAGAAUUUUCUGAUGCCACUCGAGGGUGAAGAGGUGCAGUUGCCAUCAAAAGUUACGAGAAGUCCCUGCUGCUGUUCCAGGGUGAUAUUCAUCUGGUAAACAUGGAAAGAAGCUGCUGUCCAAGUAAUUGAUGGUUUGAACCUGCUGUACCAAAGUUUUUUUCUAUGGAUCUCAACUUCGCCUUUGGAGUUCACUUUGAACUGCUUUUGAUUCAAUUCAUACGGACACCAGUUGUCAUUUUCACAUUGUCCUUCUCUGAUGUUUGAAAAGAUUGAAGGCAAAAGGAGAAGAGGAUGGCAGGAGGUGACAAAGAUGAGAGAGUGUCAUGGAAGGAGCAAACGUGAACUUGGACAGACUUUGUAAGAUAGCAGACAGAAGGGCCUGGUAUGCUAAGGUCUCUGGGGUCACAAAUCUUCAACGUUCAAAAUACCGGAGCCCAUAAAGUGAAUCAGAAGCAGGACAAACAGACAUCGGAUAACAAGACAGGGAUACACGAAGGAAGUGGGACUCAGAUGAGGACGUAUACAAUGGACGGGAACAAAGAAGACCCAAAGACAAGGAAUAUCCCAGAACAAUGAGAAUCCAUGACAUCUGCCCACCACAAUCUGUCCUGCCAUUCUCAAGACCAUGUGGCUUUCCUUCCCCUGCUUUGCUACCACAAGGAUGGAUACAGAACUUCCCACAACAAACACUGACAUCAUAUGGAGGAACCCGGUUUAUCUUCUUCUACGAUGGCAGAGUCAACUCUACAAAUGUACAUAGAAUAUAAGAGGGCCAAAAAGGAAUGGAAGGAAAGGAAAGGAAAGAGGAAAAAAAGGGAAGAGGAGGAAAAGGAAAUAAGCAUUUAUUAAGAACCUACUAUGUGUCAGGCACUGUGAUAAGCACUUUACUAAUAUUAUCUUAUUAAGUGUGAGGUAAGUGCUCCUAUUAUUCUCACUUCAAAAUGAAGAAACUGAGGCAGAGCAGACUAUUAGUUGUCACAUAGCUUAGGAAACCAAAGAUGGCACAGAUUUGAAGAGGCAGGGAAUAAUGAAUGUCCCAAACAAAAAUGGAAGGAACUAACAGAGGAGGGAACAACAGAGUGACAGAAGGAUGGAUGGGGUGAGUGUGAAAAUGUGAGAAAGAUGGAUGGGUUUCGAGUUCGAUUUCUAGCUAUCAAUUCUUGUACACUGAGGCAGGUUUGAAAGGUGAAGCAUGAAAAGCUUGGAAAACUGAGAUAGCCGGGAGAGUAUGAAAGUAGAGAUGUUGUGAUUUAGCUGUGCAGCGUUCAGAAUGAAUCACUCAGUAAGAGACAGAUGAGUAGGCCUAUGUAUAUGUGAUGUUUGGAUGCAAGGAAAGAACACUUGAGUGAGCGAUCGGUGGGUUCAUUGUUGUACUAAGUGGGAGUCGGGUGCAUUAUGAAAGCUAUCAGCAGAGUGGUGGAUGAAUGAGUAUACCUGGACUAUGGGAGAAUGAAUGGAGAAAAGGCAGAAGAGGAGAAUGUGUUUUGAAAGGCAGAAAGGGGUGAAAGGGGUUCAUUCAUGAGAAAGAGAAAAAGCUGAAAAAGGAUAGAACCAAACCCUGAUGGGGGAGGGAAUGUGAUGUGAAAUUGCCAAACUGAGAAGUGGCCAGGAAGAGCAGAAUGAUGGGAGAGAAUUAAUUCUGCGACAUUUCUAGUGCUCCCGUGUGUGAGAUACCAGUGAAUUUAGAGACUGAUUACUGAUGUUUGGCUGUUUAGAAUGACUGCCGGUGUGAGGGACAAAUGGAGGAGCUGAUGUAAAAAGUGAGAGUUGUAUGCAGAAAGAAAGUGGUAGAAGAGAAGAUCUACCUAGACUGAGAGAGAUGAAUUAAAGUAGAAACUUCAGCAUUGAGACACUAAUGGGAAUUGAAAUUUAAGAAGGGUUCAUAUGCAGACUCUUCCUCAUGCUCUCUGCCACAGAUCUGGACCCUCUGCCCCUUAAUCAUGUGCCACCACUUUGGAAAAGAUCAGAAAAGCUGCAAAAAAUUGAGGGGAGCCCAAGAAAAUGGUGUCUCCCCUGAAGUCAAAAGGAGACCCUGAGGGUGGGACCAUGUCAGAAGAUGAAAAAGAAACCAGAGCAAGAGAGCUUACAGUCCCUCAGAAGAAUAGGAAAAGACCGUGGCUACCCUAGCAAAGGUCCCAGCGGCCACAAAAGCCACCGCUCCUGCAACAAAGUGCCUGGGAUAUUUUCUAAGAAGGCCUCCGGCAAGAAAGGGCCACCCCGGCCAAAGCUGAUGUCAUCCUAACAGAAGCGGGAGCCCCCCCCCCCGAGCCACCCACCCAUGAGCAAAGGGGCCCCCAGGAAGUUAAGAAAGAAGAUGGUGACUCUGAAGAAGACAGUGAAGAUGAGAAGAGAGAACCUGGGCCACCCAGAGCUACAAAAGUGGGAGCAGCUCUAGCCAAAUACACUUAGAUGGUGGUAAUGGAGGAGGAAGAAGAAGAAAUGAAGGAGGAGGAGGAGGGUGGGGAAGAAGAAACAAAGGAAGAAGAAAUGGCGGCGGUGGAGGAGGAGGAGGGUGGGGAAGAAGAAACGAAGGAA